rnacentral:tRNA from 1 species
AUAAAGGUGGCAGAGCCUGGAAAUUGCAAAAGCCCUAAGCCCUUUAAACAGAGGUUCAAAUCCUCUCCUUCUUA